rnacentral:rRNA from 1 species
AACGAACGCUGGCGGCAUGCCUAAUACAUGCAAGUCGAACGAGCCCUUCGGGGCUAGUGGCGCACGGGUGCGUAACGCGUGGGAAUCUGCCCUUGGGUUCGGAAUAACGUCUGGAAACGGACGCUAAUACCGGAUGAUGACGAAAGUCCAAAGAUUUAUCGCCCAGGGAUGAGCCCGCGUAGGAUUAGCUAGUUGGUGAGGUAAAGGCUCACCAAGGCGACGAUCCUUAGCUGGUCUGAGAGGAUGAUCAGCCACACUGGGACUGAGACACGGCCCAGACUCCUACGGGAGGCAGCAGUAGGGAAUAUUGGACAAUGGGGGCAACCCUGAUCCAGCAAUGCCGCGUGAGUGAUGAAGGCCUUAGGGUUGUAAAGCUCUUUUACCCGGGAUGAUAAUGACAGUACCGGGAGAAUAAGCCCCGGCUAACUCCGUGCCAGCCGCCGCCGUAAGAC